rnacentral:lncRNA from 1 species
CUCCAUCUUCAGCAUAGGCUUGGGCCUGGGCUCCAAAUUCAAACCCAAGCCCAAAGCCUUCAUAAGCAAACCCAAUGCAAACAUCCAUCACAAACUUGGGCCUAGUGCCCCAACUCAAGCCCGAGUCCAAAGAUGUCAAGGGGUAAGCCCAAGACACCCAUUGCCUUCACAAACUUGGGCCUUUCAUCUGGGUCCAAGCUGCCUAAAGCCCAAGUCAAUCCUCAUCUCUCU